rnacentral:rRNA from 1 species
UACGUAGGGGGCAAGCGUUGUCCGGAAUCAUUGGGCGUAAAGCGCGCGUAGGCGGCCCGGUAAGUCCGCUGUAAAAGUCCAGGGCUCAACCCUGGAAAGCCGGUGGAUACUGUCGGGCUAGAGUCCGGAAGAGGCGAGUGGAAUUCCUGGUGUAGCGGUGGAAUGCGCAGAUAUCAGGGGGAACACCGAUGGCGAAGGCAGCUCGCUGGGACGGUACUGACGCUGAGGCGCGAAAGCGUGGGGAGCGAACAGG